CCCGCCCCGCCCCGCAAUCCCCGCCCGCAAUCCGCUGGUAGGUGCUCGCCGAUGGAAGGUUAUCAGGUCCGCUGCCGCUGGAAGGUGCCCGCCCCGCAGCAGAGAAUGGAAGGUCCUCACGCCCGCACGCUCGCUGGAAGGUCCUUGAUUGAGCUGAUAAUGGAAGGUCACCGUACACGGAUGGAGGACGCGGAUGGAAGGUCCGUGGCCAAAUCCGAUUUGCCCCCUCGCCCGCGAGAUGCCGCCGCCCACCGUGCCCGCGAUUCCGCCCCAAUCACCUCUGGUUCUCAAGUAUGGGGAGGAAGGGAAGGUGGUGGAGCGAGUGAACCUCGCCACUCGGCAGCUGCGCCUACUGCCGAAGCCCGUUGUCCGGAUCUGCGGUCUCCUCGCGCUCGACGUCUCCCGCGACCAGCUAAAGGUUAGAUACUCGUCUCCCCCGACCUAGGGCAGGGGCUGUAGGCGAUAGUCGAGCGCGCCGGAGCAGGCAGCAGGCCAACAACCCAGCAGAUGGGGGAAGUAGCAUCAAGGAGGGUCGCGCACCGUCGUCGACGACCCGCUUCUUCCCCGAUGCGGAGGCUGCGGGGCAACUACGACCCCGUGGAGAUGGCGCGCAUGGCCGCCAGCGCUGCGGCAGCCGUGCGCCACUCGGCCAAGAAGCGCCCCAAAAUGAGCCAGAUCGUGAGGGCACUCGAGGGGGACAUCUCGCUGGAGGACCUCAACGACAACGAGGGGGUGCGGCCUGGGCAGAGCAUGGCGUUCGGCACGGCUGCCGCGGCUGCGACCUCGUACAAGGCCAAAGCUCCCGGACCGUACACGCACGGCGUGGAGCGGAUCAGGCAGGCGCCCACGGUGUACAGCGGCGCGGUGGGCCGUCCCUCUACGAUCGGCAACUACGGCGAUGAGUCCCGUGAACCGCACCAGUAGCAGGCCGGAAGCAGCAGCAGCUGAGUUGCUACCGUGUACGCAUGUGAUGCUGCACCGUUGCAACUCAUGCUCGCCGCGCCGUUAUUGAUUGCGUGAAGGUCUUGAAUCGGUGUGCAAUACAUCAACAGGUUGCUGAGGGUUGAAAAGAUGUUGGUGCUUCUCGAAUUAUUGGCAUUGACAUCGACAAUAAAAAGUUUGACGUUGUGACAUCAAAGGUUCCUGCAAUAGUGGCAUGGACGACCAGUUCCUGGGUGAAGCUGUUUCGAGCAACAACGACAUCGAAGAUAGUGGUUGACUGGUAAAUCAGUUGCAGAAAAAAGCUGAAGAUUACAGAAAUAGUUUGCAACAAGAAGCACAAGCAAAAGCUCAAGCAUUACACUUUGAAGAUGAAUUAGCUAGAAAAAGAAUGCCGGUAACAGCCAGAGAUAUGCACAGCCGAUACAUUCCUCAGCAAGAUCCCUUCUCAGAGGGACUCUACACGUUCGAUAUUGGGCAGAAUGACCUUGCUGGUGAGUUCUAUUCAAGAACAGAGGACCAGGUCAUCGUUUCCAUUCCAACUAUUUUGCUGGAAUUUGAGAAUGGUCUCAAGAAACUGUAUGACCAAGGUGCUAGGAAGUUCUGGAUUCACAACACAGGCCCCCUCGGCUGCUUGCCUCAAAACAUUGCCCUGUUCGGCAAAGACCCAUCCCAACUGGACGAGCUCCACUGUGUGGCGAAGCACAACCGUGCCGCAAAGCUUUUCAACUUAUAGCUGCACGCACUUUGCACGAAGCUGAGGGCAGAAUUCGAUGGAGCCAGCAUCACUUACGUGGACAUCCACACGAUCAAAUACAGCGUGAUCGCCAACUACUCUCGAUACGGGUUCGAGCACGCCACUCACGCAUGCUGUGGAUACGGAGGCCCACCCCUGAACUACGAUGGUAAUGUACCAUGUGGACACACAGUGUCUCUGGAUGGUAAGAUGGUCACCGCAAAAGGUGCAGCGACACUACUGAAUUCGUCAACUGGGAUGGGAUACAUUACACGGAAGCUGCGAAUUUCCAUAUCGCGUCGCAGAUCGUCGCAGAUCCUGACCGGGAAGUAUUCUGAUCCUCCGUUCGUGGAUAAGAUGUUGUUCGUCAUAAAACCUAGAUUCUGAUUAGCAUAUGAUUUUCCCUCUUUACUCAACCACUUUACAGCACCGGUUGCAGAUACGAUGUAUACUUAUUACUUGCCAAUAACCAUAUAUAGCUUGAGUAAAAAAAUCAUAUAUACGGCUUGGUUUCAGUUGUC